AAUUUUCUACAAUGGUCGCAAGCCUUAUCCAUCAAUGACGCGUGCAGGAUGAAGGCCUUCGGGUUNUAAACUGCUUUUGUACGGAANGAAAAGCCCUGGGUUAAUACCCUGUGGUCAUGACGGUACCGUAAGAAUAAGCACCGGCUACCUACGUGCCAUCAGCCGCGGUAAUACGUAGGGUGCAAUCGUUAAUCGGAAUUACUGGGCGUAAAGCGUGCGCAGGCGGUUUUGUAAGACAGAGGUGAAUACCCCGGGCUCAACCUGGGAACUGCCUUUGUGACUACAAGGCUAGAGUACGGCAGAGGGGGAUGGAAUUCCGCGUGUAGCAGUGAAAUGCGUAGAUAUGCGGAGGAACACCGAUGGCGAAGGCAAUCCCCUGGGCCUGUACUGACGCUCAUGCACGAAAGCGUGGGGAGCAAACAGG
rnacentral:rRNA from 1 species